UACGUAGGGUGCGAGCGUUAAUCGGAAUUACUGGGCGUAAAGCGUGCGCAGGCGGUUCGUUAAGUCAGAUGUGAAAGCCCCGGGCUCAACCUGGGAACUGCAUUUGAAACUGGCGGGCUUGAGUGUGGCAGAGGGGGGUGGAAUUCCGCGUGUAGCAGUGAAAUGCGUAGAGAUGCGGAGGAACACCGAUGGCGAAGGCAGCCCCCUGGGCCAACACUGACGCUCAGGCACGACAGCGUGGGGAGCAAACAGG
rnacentral:rRNA from 1 species